UUAUUGGGUUAAAAAUAAUGUAGCUUUAAUGUGUUCACACAAACUGACAAUGGAGCUGCUCGAGGUGAAGCAAGUUUCGAUACACUUCUGUGCGGUCAUACUUGACUAACAUCAGGUCACUGUACAUUUGUUAACCACGUACACUAAACAGAGCCAUGAUCUCAAGGUGGGAAUACGGUCAUCAUACGCAGCAAACACUCCUGCCCCUCUGUGAGCCAUUCAGUGAAUCAACACACACGCACAAAUAAACACACCUACAAAAGUCAGUGUUUCAACAGCCAAUCAGACGAUACCAGCAUGUUUUUUUAUUACGCCUAUUAGAUCAGAAAAUGACUCAAUAAAUAUUUAUGUCAUGUAACUUGGGUUUUACAUUCAGAUUUAUCUGUAGAGAGCCUGCUAAUAUAUAUAUAUAUAUAGUUCCACUGAUUCAUAAAAUAAUAUUAAUAAUAAAAACAAUAGUGCCAAAUUAAAUUAUCUUUUUAAGUUAUUUCAACGUCAUAACAAGAAAUAUGUUAUUCUCAGCUGUGGUCCAGUGUUUCACCUUAAAUCGGGCACAUAAAAUGCACAAAAAGCUCAAAACAAAGAUUAAAAACAGCGAGAAAUGGGUUUAUGUUGUUCGAACUCUAACAGCCUACCAAGGACAUAAUAAAUAUACAGUAUAUAAGUUCAUAAUUCUUGUAUUUUUCUGUGCAUUAUCAGAGAAUAUGGUUUCUUUAACCCUCACAUACUGUUUGGGUCAAAUUUGACCCGUUUUGACUUUUAACAGCAGUAAAAAUACCCUAAACGUCAUUCUUUAAGCCUGAAACUUGAUGACUUUUCCUGAAAUAUCCCAAAAUACAUGAAAUUAAUUUAAAAAUAUUCAUGUGUAUUUUUGUUUAUGUGCUACAAAUUUUUCCCCUCUAAGGCUGUUACGGGUCAAAUUUGACCCAUAUCUAUAUUUAGAUGGAUUUUAGAUCUAGCAGUGUGGGACAAGUGACAAACAGUAACAACAGUGUUCAAUAUAAGGUUUGUUGUUCAAAAAGAUAAAUUCAAAUCAUUAUGAAACUAUCAUUACCUUGACAGAAACACACACACACACACACACACACACACACACACACACGCAUGCACACAGACAUACAGUCACACAGACACACCUAGACAGAGGUCAAAAUGACCUAACUAGUCAAGAGAACUUUCUGUGACAGAAAGCUGCUCUUUGAACUCUUUGAAGGGGCAAUUUUGACCUGGAACAUAGUGUGAGGGUACAGGAUUUGAACAGUAUGUGAGGGUUAAGUCAAAGUUGUGACAACAAAAAUGCAGUCAAGCAACAAAAUAAAGGAAAUGUUUGAUGUUUUCAAGUAUCAAAGGAAAAUAGGCCGUAACAUUUGUAACCUAUAUUUGCAUAAAACAAUGACCAAAAAGGUGAAACAACACAGUUAUAUCCAACCUCGCACAAAUGUGAAGUAUUAGCUGGCCAAUACAUUAUUAAAUGUAAGCAUGUAGCAUUAAGCAUGUUUGUAUGAUCCAAAGCAUGAGACUUCAGCAAAAUCAAAACUGCGAGCGU